UUAAUAUAACAUCUUCCUCUACUGGCCAGCUGAAGUAAUGCUGGCCAGUAUAGUUUGGGAUCACGUAGAUCUCUCGUCCGUGUAUCUACAAAGAGGUUUCGUUUGAGCCUGGGCAGACCUUCUACAGGGGUUGUAACAAGUGCUACCGACCACGAAAAUGGCUACUUCUGUCUCUCACCGAUGAAACCUACAACAUGGCCCUACAAGUGCCAGCGGGUUCCAACGGAGUGUGGCUACCGCGUGGUUUAUACGGAGUUCCCGGAGGUGGAGUGUCAAGCCUACAGCUGGAUCUGGUGAAGGCAGACAGACACCUAUGCCCCCCUACAGUCAAAAUACACGAUCGCAAGACUCUGGCUGUGGACAACCUCUUGAAUUAAGUAGUUACCAUGCAGAGAACAGACCACAUCCAACCUUCAAUUUGUCAACUUGUUCAAUCAAAGAAGGAACCAAUUCCCAAAUUGAACGACCCAACUCCAAAAGUUUCGUCCUUCGUUUCAAUAAAUGUGUGUGUGUGUUAAUGUUAUUAAAAUGUGGGACAGAAGGACCUCAAUUGGCACGGAUUCCAAAUGGGCAUAGAUUCAAAUUCCAAUAGAUUCUCAAACACAAGUACCAUAAAAAGUAGCAACAUACUCUGACUGUACAGUAGUAUCCUAUCAUCCCAAUAUGAUUGCUCAGCUUCCUGCCCUCCUCUCCUUACUUUAGUGACCACUGAUCUUGAUCACACCGACAGUGUCAUUGUUUUUUGGUACACAAAAAGUACAUUCAUUUCCAAUGGAAAGCUGUGAUUGCCAUGCAGCAUUGCAGAGGCAGUUGCAGUGCUUUCUGUUUAAAUUCGAUUUGUCGAACGUAUGCAUCAAAUCGUAUGCGUAGACGGCAUGACAUAAAUGGUAGCAGAAGGUGAAUGUUGAACUUUUGUUGCACACAUAUCCAGAUGAUGCCGCGUACCAUUUUACACAAUGAUUAACAUAGUUAAAGGUCGAAUAAAAAAUAAAGGUGUGAUUGAGGUGUAACGCCUUGAUCACACCGAUAGUGUCAUUGCGCAAAAUAGUAGGUGGUAUCAUCUGGAUUUGUGUGCAACAAAAGUUCAACAUGAACUUUCUGCUACCAUUUCUGUCAAGCAGUCUACGCAGUUUGACGCAUACGUUCGAUAAAUCCAAUUUAUGCAUCACACAGAACACACUGUAACUGCCUCUGCAAUUCUGCAAAGCAAACUCAGCGUUCCAUUAGAAAUGAAUGUACUUCUGGUGUACCAAAAUGCCAUGACUGUCGGUGUGAUCGGGGCGUAAGCGACCAAUUGAGUAGUUUGAUGAGGACUCCGACCAUAUGUCAAUAUUGUAUCACCUGUUGUUUACGAAGCAUGUGACAAAUAAAAGUUUGAUUUGACCUCGUGACAAGCCA